rnacentral:rRNA from 1 species
GGUCGACGAUUCGCGUGUAGCAGUGAAAUGCGUAGAGAUGUGGAGGAAUACCGAUGGCGAAGGCAGCCCCCUGGGAUAACACUGACGCUCAUGCACGAAAGCGUGGGGAGCAAACAGGAUUAGAUACCCUGGUAGUCCACGCCCUAAACGAUGUCAACUAGUUGUUGGGGAUUCAUUUCCUUAGUAACGUAGCUAACGCGUGAAGUUGACCGCCUGGGGAGUACGGUCGCAAGAUUAAAACUCAAAGGAAUUGACGGGGACCCGCACAAGCGGUGGACGAUGUGGAUUAAUUCGAUGCAACGCGAAAAACCUUACCUACCCUUGACAUGCCACUAACGAAGCAGAGAUGCAUUAGGUGCUCGAAAGAGAAAGUGAACACAGGUGCUGCAUGGCUGUCGUCAGCU